GGGGAAUCUUGCGCAAUGGGCGAAAGCCUGACGCAGCAACGCCGCGUGAGGGAUGAAGGUUUUCGGAUUGUAAACCUCUUUCAGUAGGAACGAAAUUGACGGUACCUACAGAAGAAGCUCCGGCCAACUACGUGCCAGCAGCCGCGGUAAUACGUAGGGAGCAAGCGUUGUCCGGAUUUAUUGGGCGUAAAGAGCUCGUAGGCGGUUUAGUAAGUCAGGUGUGAAACCUCCAGGCUCAACCUGGAGCCGCCACUUGAUACUGCUAUGACUAGAGUUUGGUAGGGGAUGAUGGAAUUCCUGGUGUAGCGGUGAAAUGCACAGAUAUCAGGAGGAACACCGAUGGCGAAGGCAGUCAUCUGGGCCAAUACUGACGCUGAGGAGCGAAAGCGUGGGGAGCAAAC
rnacentral:rRNA from 1 species